GAUAGCGAAGAGGUCACACCCGUUCCCAUACCGAACACGGAAGUUAAGCUCUUCAGCGCCGAUGGUAGUCGGGGGUUUCCCCCUGUGAGAGUAGGACGCCGCCA
rnacentral:rRNA from 1 species